AGUGCCCAUGGGCUCGGCCGGAGAAACAUUUACCCACAGGACAGGGCUCAGGAAUAAACCAGACUGAUGUAUGUUUGGAAAGAAUGAAGAGAGUUCAACAACAAGAACAAAAGAUUUCAUAAUAUAAUAGGUUUGAGGUCAGUGAUGUGAUGUGAGGAGAACAGAAUGGAGUUCACAGCUGGAAGUCUCUCUUCAUUAUCAACACCACACGACUCCAAAGAAACCCAGUGAGCUCAAAGAACCCGUCCUUAAGAGAACCAUGAGCGGGUAAAUAUUUAAUGCCUUUUCGAUGUAAUAUGUGAUAGGAAAAGGGAGAAGAGAGAGGUCGGCAAAAGGUGGAUUUGAACCAGCGACAUCGCAUCAAAACCAGAUUCACGAGCUAUACGCAGACAUUGGUGGGCGGAGCUAUAGCAUUUACCUACAAGGGACACACUUUGUAUUUGGUGUAAAUAGUCACUCUGACUUUUUUUUUAUUGGUUUUAGAACUGAAUG